AGACGCAAGUAAGAGCAUCAAUGAAUCACGAUUUUGCUUCCCUCCUUUAACUCAAAUUGACAGGAAGCACAAAACAAAAGCUGGCAGCUCCUGGAGGGGGGGCUCGGAAAAUGAUCUCAUUCCUAUGAACGCAGAGAAAAGUCAAGAAAAUGAUGCAGAAACGCAGCAUGAAAACAAGAAGCGAAACAGGACAUCACUGGAAUCGCCACCCUUCUUGAGUACGGAAGACAAUUACACCUCUGCUGUGAAAAGGACAUUGCUGGAAUCACCACCCUUCUUGAGCAGCAGUAACGGGUCACAAUCGUAACAAUGUUAGUUCCUGUACUGUCUAUUCCACCUUGUUUAAAACAGUAUUUCAACUUCUCAGCCUUCUGACCAAGGAUAAAGUUCUGGACAGAGUGCAGAGAUUAGAUUGCCAGAGUGCCAUCGACUGCGUGACUGAGUGUGAUUUGGUCGCUGCUGUUAUGGGGGAACCUCUGCCUCCCAGCACACUUUUUUUUUUUUUUGGUCUGGGUAGCACAUGGAGCCCAAGUGCAGCUUUGUCUAGUGAUUUUUCCUAAUUGCUCAGUGUAAGGUCCCUCAAGACAACAGGUUCAAGGAUCCCGACUGAAGAACACCAUCCACUUUCACUGGUGGAACGGGGAUGAUGGUGGUGGGUUUCCUGAGCAGGUUCCCUAACCCUUCGUCCUUGGACUCAUGAGACUUCCAGGUAAGGAAACGGUCUGCAUCACUAUUGACUGAGGAGCUGUAGCAGAGGGUUCGGGAGCCACUCUCCUACUUUACUGAUCCAAAGUGGAGGGAUGACUAACUGUCACUGAGCACAUCUUCAACCCCUUGUCUCCAGCUAUUGAGAGCCUUCUUAGGGAAGUUUGUGUUUAAAGGACGUGAGGACCGGACGGAUGCGGUCGCCAUCUGGAAUGGGCUUGGCUGUUUUCAUGUGCGUCUUCAUGGAUUUUGCACCACACCGGGACUUGGGCGAGGCUGGAGGCUACCAGUUUGAGGGACAGUCUCCCUCCCACCACCUGAGUUUUAGCUGAGGACAUACUGGCAAGGACUAAGGGCAUGAAGUGCCAAAGGUG